rnacentral:rRNA from 1 species
CCUACGGGUGGCAGCAGUGGGGAAUAUUGCACAAUGGGGGAAACCCUGAUGCAGCGACGCCGCGUGAGUGAAGAAGUAAUUCGGUAUGUAAAGCUCUAUCAGCAGGGAAGAAAAGGACGGUACCUGAGUAAGAAGCCCCGGCUAACUACGGGCCAGCAGCCGCGGUAAUACGUAGGGGGCAAGCGUUACCCGGAUUGACUGGGUGUAAAGGGGGCGUAGAAGGCAGUGCAAGUCUGGAGUGAAAGGCGGGGGCUCAACCCCCGGACUGCUGUGGAAACUGUGCGGCUGGAGUGCAGGAGAGGUAAGUGGAAUGCGUGGUGUAGCGGUGAAAUGCGUAGAUAUUA